GUAUGAUAAUAUCAUAUGAUGCAGUUUGCAUUAAAGGUUGGUAAUAUAGAAAGUGAUUCUCCUUGCUUUUCGAAAAAUCAGUUUUGAAUUGGCCUAGAAAGAAUCGUAACAUU